GAUGUCCAAACCCGCCAUUAAUGUCGAUAGCCCCAGUUCCCCAGGUCGAGCCCGUCUGGCUUCAGCCAAUACUUCAAUUUCAUCCAUCAAAAAAGAUGAACAGGAUCAAAAAAUCAAAAGCACAGGUGACACUGAGCAACCUGUGAAGGCAUCACCUGACAUAUGAAAACAAAACAAAAAAAAAACUUCAGCCACACAAGGGACUUGUGAGGUCUUACUGGGUAAAAUGGAGCAUAGUCAGUUAUUUAGUCUGUAGUUAUUUGGAAAGUGCCUUUGUACAAGAAAGCCAGUUUGCCCUGAUUAGAUUGUGUGUAUUUAUGAGGUUGGCCGAAGUUGCACAAAUGAUUCAGCAGAUAUGUGAUAAGGACCAACUGUUGGUUUGCUGAUGAGUAAUACAUUAAGGUGACAUCCUUGUAAAAAAAUCACCUGGAAUUUUUUUUUUAUUUUUUUUUUUUAAAUAUGUCUAAAUAUACAGGCAUAUUGGUUUGAUGAUGUCAUGCUUGGGCGCUGACACUGGUGGAGUGAUAUUCUGAAAAUCCACUGAAUUUUAAUAU